rnacentral:rRNA from 1 species
GACAUGCAGAGAACUUACCAGAGAUGGAUUGGUGCCUUCGGGAACUCUGACACAGGUGCUGCAUGGCUGUCGUCAGCUCGUGUCGUGAGAUGUUGGGUUAAGUCCCGUAACGGGCGCAACCCUUGUCCUUAGUUACCAGCACGUUAUGGUGGGCACUCUAAGGAGACUGCCGGUGCAAACCGGAGGAAGGUGGGGAUGACGUCAAGUCAUCGUGGCCCUUACGGCCUGGGCUACACACGUGCUACAAUGGUCGGUACAAAGGGUUGCCAAGCCGCGAGGUGGAGCUAAUCCCAUAAAACCGAUCGUAGUCCGGAUCGCAGUCUGCAACUCGACUGCGUGAAGUCGGAAUCGCUAGUAAUCGUGAAUCAGAAUGUCACGGUGAAUACGUUCCCGGGCCUU